UACGGGGGGGGCUAGCGUUGUUCGGAAUUACUGGGCGUAAAGGGCGCGUAGGCGGCCAGCACAAGUCAGUUGUGAAAUCUCCGGGCUUAACUCGGAAAGGUCAACUGAUACUGUGCGGCUAGAGUGCAGAAGGGGCAACUGGAAUUCUCGGUGUAGCGGUGAAAUGCGUAGAUAUCGAGAGGAACCCCUGCGGCGAAGGCGGGUUGCUGGGCUGACACUGACGCUGAUGCGCGAAAGCCAGGGGAGCGAACGGG
rnacentral:rRNA from 1 species